rnacentral:rRNA from 1 species
UAAGGAAUAUUGCUCAAUGGGAGAAAUCCUGAAGCAGCAACGCCGCGUGGAGGAUGAAGGGUCUAUGACUUGUAAACUCCUGUAAAGAAGGAAAAAAUUCCCAUUAGAUGGGAGAUGAUGGUACUUCUGGAGUAAGCCCCGGCUAACUACGUGCCAGCAGCCGCGGUAAUACGUAGGGGGCAAGCGUUGUCCGGAUUUACUGGGUGUAAAGGGUGCUCAGGCGGAUUUGUAAGUCAGAGGUGAAAUCUUACAGCUUAACUGUGAAACUGCCUUUGAUACUGAAAGCCUAGAGUAUGGAAGAGNGUGAUGGAAUAUCUGGUGUAGCAGUGAAAUGCGUAGAUAUCAGAUAGAACACCAAUGGCGAAGGCAGUCACUUGGUCCAUUACUGACGCUAAAGCACGAAAGCGUGGGUAGCAAACA